AGAGUUUGAUCCUGGCUCAGGAUGAACGCUAGCGACAGGCUUAACACAUGCAAGUCGAGGGGCAGCAUGAUAGGUAGCAAUACUUAUUGAUGGCGACCGGCGCACGGGUGAGUAACGCGUAUGCAACUUACCUAUCAGAGGGGGAUAGCCCGGCGAAAGUCGGAUUAAUACUCCAUAAAACAGGGGUUCCGCAUGGGACUAUUUGUUAAAGAUUCAUCGCUGAUAGAUAGGCAUGCGUUCCAUUAGGCAGUUGGCGGGGUAACGGCCCACCAAACCGACGAUGGAUAGGGGUUCUGAGAGGAAGGUCCCCCACAUUGGUACUGAGACACGGACCAAACUCCUACGGGAGGCAGCAGUGAGGAAUAUUGGUCAAUGGCCGAGAGGCUGAACCAGCCAAGUCGCGUGAAGGAUGAAGGAUCUAUGGUUUGUAAACUUCUUUUAUAGGGGAAUAAAGUGUGGGACGUGUCCCAUUUUGUAUGUACCCUAUGAAUAAGCAUCGGCUAACUCCGUGCCAGCAGCCGCGGUAAUACGGAGGAUGCGAGCGUUAUCCGGAUUUAUUGGGUUUAAAGGGUGCGUAGGUGGUAAUUUAAGUCAGCGGUGAAAGUUUGUGGCUCAACCAUAAAAUUGCCGUUGAAACUGGGUUACUUGAGUGUGUUUGAGGUAGGCGGAAUGCGUGGUGUAGCGGUGAAAUGCAUAGAUAUCACGCAGAACUCCAAUUGCGAAGGCAGCUUACUAAACCAUAACUGACACUGAAGCACGAAAGCGUGGGUAUCAAACAGGAUUAGAUACCCUGGUAGUCCACGCAGUAAACGAUGAUUACUAGGAGUUUGCGAUAGACAGUAAGCUCUACAGCGAAAGCGUUAAGUAAUCCACCUGGGGAGUACGCCGGCAACGGUGAAACUCAAAGGAAUUGACGGGGGCCCGCACAAGCGGAGGAACAUGUGGUUUAA
rnacentral:rRNA from 1 species